rnacentral:misc_RNA from 1 species
GCAAUGGCACUCAACGCUCUCCUGCACACCUUUUGUAGCUCUAUCUCUGUUCAUGCACGGCACACACACACACAAGUAUAAUCAGAAGCAGACACGUACACACCUCUAUGGCGAUCGCCCUUCUCAUUGCAGUUUCUCCAAAAUAGAAAGCGGAACGCCAGCAGGCUUCUCUUUUUUUUUUUUUGGGCGGGGGUUCUCACUCUAGCUACGCGCAGUGUGAUCGCUGCAUUUCUGCACUGUCCCUGUCUUCUGCGCAGCCCAUCUUCCGUGAUCUUGCCUUCUUACGCCGAGCCAUCAACCCUGUCUCCCUCGCUUCCUCUGCUCAUUGGCGCUUUCGCUCCUUCUUAGACAGCCCCAGUCAAAAUGAGGUCAGCGUCGACCAUGUGCCAGCGGUGGCCCCAGCACACGAACAUCGCGCAGGACAACCAGGCCCACCACAAGCCGCUGAUCCAGCGAUUUGUCCGUGAUGGCGCGAACCCGCGCCCUCAGCUGCGCUUCUUACUGCACUCCCCCGACUCGAAGUUCCCGGUCUGCGUCGCAUGCCACCGCGGUGACUGGCGCAACUACGUCGAGAACACGCUCGAGGCUGUGGAAAGCUGCAUCCAGAUGGGGGCUGACAUAGUCGAAGUCGAUGUCUGGCGCACAAGUGACGGCGCGCUCAUCCUCAUGCACGACGAGACGCUCGACCGUACAACGAAUGGUAAAGGUAGGGUGUGCGAUCACACUCUUGCCGAGGUGCGUGCGCUGCGUCUGAAGGACGGACUUGGCAACAUGACGGAGUUCACGGUGCCGACGGUGGAGGAGGUGUUACUCCUGGCGAAGGACCGCGUCAUCCUCAACUUGGACAAGGCCGACGUCUACCUGGAUGAGCUCUACCCUCUGCUCGUGAAGACGGGGAUGGUGGAGCAGACGAUUCUAAAGUCGGAGAUUCCCUUCGAUGAGCUGUGCAAGCGGUACUCUGCGGAUUUGCUCAACCGUGUUAUUUUCAUGCCCAUUUUGAAUAUCACGGACACCACAACGUACGAGAGCAUCGACCGCGCCUUUGCCGCCAACCACGCCCUGUAUGAGGUGAACUUCGAGAAGGAAAAUGCCGACAUGCUGCAGUACAUUCGAAAGCUCGCCAAGAACUCGGGUGCGGCGCUGUGGAUCAACACCAUUUGGCCGACCACCUGCGGCGGUUACAGCGAUGACCACGCGCUGCGUGACAAGGACGCGAACUGGGGCUAUGUGGUUGAACACAUCGGGGCCGGCAUCAUACAGACAGACCGGCCUGCGAUGCUGCUCGCGUACCUCCAAGAGCGUGGCUGUCGCUAAGACGGUGGCCCGCGGAGACACCAACACCCUUGCAGUUACCAUGCAGCUUCCAGGCCUCUUCGAGGACGCGCACGUUCUUUAUGGCACCGUAGGAGAUACAAAAAAGAAGGAAAGAGAUCAUCAAGGUAAACCUCUGUGCUUUUUUUUUCAGCGUCAUCUCGUCUCUUUUUUUGCCUUUUUCUGCUCGACUGCGUGAUGUUGCCGGCGCGUUUUGUUUCUGUUUUUGUAUUUGCGUGUGGUCACAUGCUCUCUUUCUUCGUCAAGUUUCUUCACCCUCGCCUCCAACUUCCCUACCAGCCCCGUCGGGCCGUCUUUGCUCUUUGCUGUCCGUACGCGCAGAUGCGGUUUGGGGUACAUGCGUGCCCGUGAAGCUCAAACAUAUAUAUUUAUAUACACACACACGCACACACAGAUUCACCACAGCAACGCACCGUAGCAGUGGAUGUGACGGAUGAUGGGUGCACACCAUCCAACCGUGAAGGGAUACCGAUUGGAAAACGAAUGAGCGGCGGUAUACGUCAACGGGUGACCCGCAAAGAACACACCAGCGAUGGUUCUUUUCCUUGCUUGCUCGUCAAACGCAUCGCUCUUUCCACUCUACACCAACCGCACUCCCUCAGCAGUGUUACGUUUUCGGUCUUUUCCUUUUUGUGUGUGUGUGACUUUUUCACUGCUCCCUUAUCUUAUUUUUUUUUGGCUACCUUUUUCGUGUGUUUUGUGUGCUGCUCUCUCGUUUCGGCACAUCCGCGUUGUCGAUCCCGUGAGGAGCUCUCUGCUUGUAACCCCUCUUCCCCCACACCGACCCGCCGAUACACACACACACACAUACACCUCCUCCUCACAUCUCAAACCUUGUGCGCGCAACACGUGAGAAAACACGACCAUGAGGGGACAAAAAGGGAGAGAUAGCAAAAGAGAGCAAGAGAGAGGGAGAGAGCACACAACCACAUGAAACGAGAGGACGGCGGCUGUGCAUGUUGCGGAUCCCUCUCCCACUUUUGUUGUUGCUGUUUUCGUCUCUUUCUUGUCAUAUUGUGUCGGUGGCCCUGUGUCUGUCUCUUUCCCGCUUGCCUUGUUGGUUUUUCGUUUCUGUGUUGGCUGCGUCUCCUCAUCUUGUCUCGCUCGCUCUGUUUGUGUGUGUACACAUAGAUGCAGAAGACGAGGAGGUUGUUCACACACACACACACACAUACACACAUUCAGCGAGAGAGAAGAAGGGCACAACAAGAGGGGUGCGCAACAAAAACAAGUUGCUCGAAAAUGAUGAUAAUAAUAAUAGGCACACGGCACGCACAAGAAAUGUAGUAAUACGAAGAACAGCCACAGAGGUGACAGCCGCGCCACGAUACGCCCCUUUGAAGAAGCGGCAACCGCCUCCGAAAAAAGAAAAGAAGGCCGAUGAUUUGAUCCUGAGCAAAAACCAACUUGACAUAUGUGGGAAGGAGGGGGGAAAGUGAUGCGGCGGCGGUAACGCAGAGAGUGUAAUCGCAUUUUGGGAGUUGUCCCUUCUCGCCCUCCCUCUGCCUCCGCCGUGACUCUGUCUCUCUGUGUAGCUCCUCCUGUUUGCACGCAUACACAGCUGUGCACAAUGCACACUGGUGAAGUAUGCUGAUCCUCUGGUUCUGUUUUGUUGGAGAGUUUUCCCCAUCACCUGAAGUGUCGCAAGGAGAGAGGAGGGAGGGGGGAUCACCAAAACCGAGGUGGUUGCGUUUUUGUCUUGCGCUGCAAAGAAUCUUCGCGUUCCUUGAAAAGUUACGAAGUAACGGUGCAGACAUGCCGAAAAGAAGCCAGAGUAGAAGUGUGGAAGCUUCUGGCACACUUUUCGUUUGCCUCGUCCCAUUUCGUGUUGCGCCCCUUUCGCUCACUUGUUGGCCUCGUUCCCAUCCAUCCCUCUUAGUGUGCCUGCGCGCCGUCCUUUUUGGGUUCGAGUGCUCGAGCCGCUCUUUUCGUUUCCUCCUCCCUCUUCUGUCGGUCUCUCUGCGGUGUUAGGGUGAAUCUGAGGCUGCCUUCCGUGACGGCAAGUUUUGGCUCUCAGAAAAAAAAACGAAAGCAAGCGUCAUGGGGCGGGGGAGGGGGUGCAUAGAGAGCAGACUACAAGAGUCCGAAAAGGGUCGGAAUAGGUGAACAGAAUGCCUCGGGAUCCAUGUCCAUGUGUUUCGCCUUCUCCAUAACCUUUGCGUUUCGACGAGCAUGUGGUCGUAUGGUGCAACAGCGGUAUAUGCCAUGGGGCUCUGCGCGCAUAUGUGCUGCCUUAUUCGUCAUAGAGUGGACACGAUGGACAAAAGGCCGAUAUAUAUAAAGGCUCGAUCCCGUCGCGUUCUUUUCGAACUAGGAACAGGACCGAGUGCGCGAGAGAAGGGGGACAGCAGCGGAAAAGAUAUCGAAAGAGAAGGGAGGAGAGAAGAAGUCUAAAGCCAUGGAGAACAAUUUCGACGAUCGAGAGCGAGACUUGCGGAACAAUAACAAAAAGAAGCCGGUCCUGCGUUGUGAUGUCAUCUACUUGACACAUGCCAGCCUCAAAAAAAAUGUUUUUUUUUUUCUUUUGGUAAUGGCCUCUCGGUGGCGUUCUUGUUUUUUUCUCUUUGUUUCUCCUCCUUCCGGAUAUGCCGUGCUCUCCUACGGUUUGCCUUCUGUUCCAUCCCUCGACGCUAGCAGUCUCUCGCAAUUUUUUGUCGCUCUUGCUUGUGGGGCUGGCACUUUUGUGUCUGUGUGUGGAUUCGCAGGAUGGCCACCUGGCCGCCCUUCUCUCGUCCACGCAAC